GAUGAACGCUGGCGGCGUGCCUAAUACAUGCGAGUCGAGCGAACAGACGAGGAGCUUGCUCCUCUGACGUUAGCGGCGGACGGGUGAGUAACACGUGGAUAACCUACCUAUAAGACUGGGAUAACUUCGGGAAACCGGAGCUAAUACCGGAUAAUAUAUUGAACCGCAUGGUUCAAUAGUGAAAGACGGUUUUGCUGUCACUUAUAGAUGGAUCCGCGCCGCAUUAGCUAGUUGGUAAGGUAACGGCUUACCAAGGCAACGAUGCGUAGCCGACCUGAGAGGGUGAUCGGCCACACUGGAACUGAGACACGGUCCAGACUCCUACGGGAGGCAGCAGUAGGGAAUCUUCCGCAAUGGGCGAAAGACUGACGGAGCAACGCCGCGUGAGUGAUGAAGGUCUUCGGAUCGUAAAACUCUGUUAUUAGGGAAGAACAAAUGUGUAAGUAACUAUGCACGUCUUGACGGUACCUAAUCAGAAAGCCACGGCUAACUACGUG
rnacentral:rRNA from 1 species